CAGUCGCCGCGGGAAUACAGAGGGUGCGAGCGUUAAUCGGAUUUACUGGGCGUAAAGCGUGCGUAGGCGGCUUUUUAAGUCGGAUGUGAAAUCCCUGAGCUUAACUUAGGAAUUGCAUUCGAUACUGGGAAGCUAGAGUAUGGGAGAGGAUGGUAGAAUUCCAGGUGUAGCGGUGAAAUGCGUAGAGAUCUGGAGGAAUACCGAUGGCGAAGGCAGCCAUCUGGCCUAAUACUGACGCUGAGGUACGAAAGCAUGGGGAGCAAACAGGAUUAGAUACCCCAGUAGUCCCUGUCUCUUAUAU
rnacentral:rRNA from 1 species